AACUUUUUUGUAGAUCUUACUUUGCUGAACAUUUUUGCUGUUUACAUUUACCUGGGACCUGUGUUAUAUAAGGUGCACUACACCCUCCUAUUACAUUCAACAGGGACCUGUGUUACAUGUAUAUAAGGUGCACUACACCCUCCUGUUACAUUCAACAGGGACCUGUGUUAUACAAGGUGCACUACAGCCUCCUAUGUUAUGUACACCAGGGACCUGUGUUAUAUAAGGUCAAUCACUAUGACCUUAUUUUCUACAAUGUUCUACAGAUCUUGUUUUGCUGAUUAUUAAUUCCUAUGGCAGUUUCUUACGAUAUAAUAUAAGUUUUAAGUAUACAGGUAAAAACAUGGAAACUAGCAAACAAUCUUCAUUUUAAUGGGGUUACACU
rnacentral:lncRNA from 1 species